rnacentral:rRNA from 1 species
UACGGGGGGGGCAAGCGUUGUUCGGAAUUACUGGGCGUAAAGGGCUCGUAGGCGGCCAACUAAGUCGGGCGUGAAAUCCCUCGGCUUAACCGGGGAACUGCGUCCGAUACUGGAUGGCUAGAGUUCGGGAGAGGGAUGCGGAAUUCCAGGUGUAGCGGUGAAAUGCGUAGAUAUCUGGAGGAACACCGGUGGCGAAGGCGGCAUCCUGGACCGACACUGACGCUGAGGAGCGAAAGCCAGGGGAGCAAACGGG